CCGGCCAUCCUGCUCCGGCCAUCCUGCUCCCCAGCACUGCUCCCCAGCCCUGCCCUGCUCCUGCCAUCGUGCUCUGGCCAUCCUGCUCUCUAGCACUGCUCCCCAGCCCUGCUCCCCAGCCGCGCUCUGCCAGGAGCUGCUCCCUGCUGAGGGUCCCGGAUCACCCCAGUGCCCUCCUGGCUCUCUCCUUUCCAUCCAGCGAGGCUCCUCCAGCCCUGCCAACCCCCCGGCUCUCCUCCCUGGGCAGCACCAGCCCAGCCCUCUCUGCCUAUCCCGGUUUCCUGGGGCGCUGGUGGGGAUGGGAAUAGCCGGGAUCUGAGCGGGGGGUGCAGGGUCUCUGUCCCCAGCAGCCCCUGCAGCAGGAUGGGAUUUCAUCCCUGCACCGCGUUUGUUGCACAGCCAGGACCUUCCUCCUGCACCUUCACUGCCGGUGACCCGUCCUGACACCCCUGGCUGCCGGGGAGGGUUUGUGCCCUGGCUGGCCCAGGGUCCCACAGUGUCCCUGCCCACCCACUGGCAGCAGAGAGGAAAGUGGCAGCAGGAUUUCUGCUGGAAUAUCGGGGCCUUCCCAGCAAGGUGGCUUGUCAGACAUGGCACCUCAGGCAUUGUCUGUACUGUGAGGGUCAGGAAGACAAAGCUGCAAGAGCAGAUGGAAUCUGGGAAAGCCCCCCACAUCCUCCAUCCCAAGGGAUCACACUCCUGUUCAUCCCCAGCCCUUUUCUCCCAGCAAGUGCUCCUAUCUGCCAGGUCUCUGUUGAUAGAUAAGCAAUGGGAAUUCUCACAUUCCACCAUUUGCUCUCUAAGCACAGGUCUCAAACCCUUCCCUGGGCCACCAGACCUAUCCUUUCUCUCCUGACAUGGUCCUUGUUUGGGAUUAGAAGAUUUUCCUCAUCCAUUCUAGGCUGCUUCCCUGGAAGCUGACACAUGGCUCAGGGAUGAGCUGGGGCACUCCUGUGGCACCUGACCGGGUGCCAAAGCAGUGGCUGGUGAGUCGAAGGGCAGCACGUUUGCCAGAAGAUAAUUGGUUCAAACUCUGGCCAAGGAGCUUCUUGGAUCGUUGCUGGAGAUGCCAUGCGGCCGGAGGUGUUCCUGGGCCUCAUUCCCUCUGCUGGGCUCCUCCACAUCUCCUCUUUUACGGCUUGAGUGGAUUUAUACAUCCAACAUCCGUGUGUUCUGCUGGAGCACAUGAGCAUCUCCUGCCUCCCCUUAGGGAAGGGUCUUUAUAACUGUGGGAGGAGCAGCUCUGCUUCUUGGGGUUCUCGCUCACACCUGACAGCCCCAGAAUGAGGCAGGGUCUGUCCAGGUGCCCAUUCCAUAGGGUGGUGACCACACCUGUCCCUACCUGCAGCCACCUGUUCUCCCCUCUCCCCACACCCCCUGUGUCCUGCAGAGCCCUGGGUCUGGUGGGCAGUUCACGCCCUCCAAGGACAGAGGGUUCCUCAGUCAGUCCUGUGGCUGCCAGGACUCUCUUGGCUCUGCCACCAGCAGGAGCUGCUGAGGACAGGCCUUCAAUCCAACCCAAAGCCUCCCACAUUCCUUGGAGAGGUUGGAACGGGGCUUGCUGUGCCCUGGGAAUGGGACAUGCUCAUGUUGGGCAUGAGGACAAUGCUCUGUGGAGCCAGGAAGAGACUUUGCUGAGGUCAGUGUGAGUUUGGUGUGAUUCACUUUGGUUUUGCUGUGCUUGAGGCUCAGAUGAUUUUCUUCUGAUCACGGGGUGUGUUAAGGUUUUUGCUAUUUUUAUAACUCACUUCUCCUCCUGUGUUCCUGUGCACAGGGUAGCUCUUCCAGUCAUCCCAUCAGGGAAGAGUUUAUUUGGAGGAGAGGGCCUCACCCUUCAGGAAAUCAAUAUUCCUUCCAGCUCUGCUUGUCCUUGUUCCCCUCUGGUGAUGGCAAGGCCUUUGGAGCACUCUCUGGGGCUGAUAUCCAUCAGAAGACCUCUGUGGCCAUGGGACACCUGAGUUCUGCUCCUUGAACCCCCAGCACUACACCGAGCCCCCUCGGGGCACCCAGGGAUCGCACAGAGCCCCGGGAUCCGGCAGCGACGUUCCCUUUGCCAACAAAGCUUGUUGGGCUCUUUCCUCUGCCUGUUCUCCAGCAGAGCCACCCAGACUGCCAGAACAGAGCCGAGCACUAUUUGGAAUUCAGAGGGCACCAUCAGUCCGUGUCAUUGGCAGGGAAUA